rnacentral:rRNA from 1 species
CCUGCCACAGGGUUUUUAGUCAGGCAACGAGCGAGACCCCCAUUCCUAAUUCCCAGCAGCAGCUUUGGGUGGCUGGGUACAUUAGGAGGACUGCCAGUGCCAAACCGGAGGAAGGAACGGGCAACGGUAGGUCAGUAUGCCCCGAAUGAGCUGGGCUACACGCGGGCUACAAUGGUCGGGACAAUGGGAAGCCACCUCGAGAGAGGGCGGUAAUCUCCGAAACUCGGUCGUAGUUCGGAUUGAGGGCUGAAACUCGCCCUCAUGAAGC